rnacentral:lncRNA from 1 species
UUAACAUAUCCAAUAUUUUCUGCUUCCUCUACAAGAUUUUCAAAAAUUUUAAAGCCAAAAACCCUAACAUUCUACUUCACUAUAAAUAUCAAACGUCUUUCUUAUUUCUUACUCAUCCAACAAUUACCUUUACUCACAACAAACGACUCAUUUUUCUUUUUUCCAAUGUCUCAAUCAAUUGCUUUCCUUGAUGAUGUGAAGCUGUACAAAACGGCUUGGAGAGUUCAAGUCGGUGUCUUGCAUAUCUGCAAUUUAUAGAAGAACCAUAUGAUUCUCCGAUUGUUUUACAAUGGUUAGUUAGUAACGAUUUAGUUUGGUUGUGAAUUUGGUUUUCAACACAUUCAAGCAAUGAUAAGUUUUUUAAUUCUUAUCAUGCUACUACAAUUCAAUCAAAUAUUGUUUAAAAAAUCAACGAUUUCAUCUAAAUUGCAUUCCUUAACAAUAAAAUGGCUUUUCAAACUUUUUGUACAAAACAGAAACACCUAAGUUGAUUUUUAUCCCUAAUCGAAUGCACAAAAUGUAAAUGUUCAUCUAAAAUAAUAACUGAGAAAAUAACCUUAUAGAGAUGAUGAUUGAUUGGUUUAUGGGCACGCAUCGAAAUCUAACUUUUGCCCGGAUUAAGACAAUCGGGGUUUUCGACUCCUGUCUACCUUCAGAUAUCGGUCAUGGUGUUUCCUACCUUCAUGAGUGGCUAUCCGGCUUCUCUUUGCAAUAAUUCACACUCAAUUGAAGCCAAAUAUGAUCUGGGUUAGAUUUUAGGAAAUUAGAUAGAGAUGAGAACUCAACAAAUGAAGAACAUUAAUUGUAUUCGUGUUUGAGUUACCAACGAUCUAGAUCGGCCCAGAUACAUGCAAAAUCGAUGGAUUCUCUGAUUGGAUAUACAUGCUGAAUCGAUGGAUUCUCUGAUCGGAUUAUAGAGUUGCUCGAAGAAAAUCAGAAAUCAAGAUGUAAGAAACGUCUUUCUGUUUUCCUUUUUUUUUUUUUUUUUUUAAGACUUAUGUCACUAAACGCAAUU